GGGAUGGGGAGGGCAGCUCUGGCACAUUGGGAUUAGCUGCUGGGGGCUGGCAGUGCCCUCCUGCCCUGAGAGCUGCAGCAGCACAGUGCUGGAGUAGCUGUGGUUCCUGAGGGCUGUGUGAUCCAGGCUCAACCUGUAGGAAGGAGGGGUGAGUAUUGGCUUUUUGCAGUGGUUUCUAUGCCCCAUGGCAGCUCUGGUGGUGGUUCAGGAGCUUGCUGCCUCAGUUCAGAGCAUUUUCCCUCCCUGCUGUCUGCUUCCCCUUCUCCAACAACCAAGCUUUGCAUUUAGGGCCUGAUUGAUGCUGGGGAUUUACAGCUGACUCAGCCACUCGGGACUGUGAUUUCCCUGUAGUGAGAAAGGUCAUAUAUGGGGGGGGGUGCUGAAACCUCAGAACAGCUCAUCCCAAAAUUUCCAGGGCUGUGUUAGUUCUCACAGUGCUGUCACAAUGAUUUCCAACGAGCAAGGGAUGCUGUCAGUUGCAGCUGAUCUGGGGCUGCUCCCCACGCACGCCCUCUGUUUGCAAACACUGCCUGUCAUUGCUGUUGCAUGGUGGCAAUGCUAUGUGCAAGGCUGUGGUCCUUCACAGGCCUGUGGGGGUUAGGAAGUGCUGCUGCUGGUUGCACCAUGCAGACCAUGUGAAAUCUACAAGUGCUGCCUUUACAUGUUGACUUAACGACCAGCUUUCCCCCCUGUAUGGCCCUGUUUGUGCUCUCUGCUGGUUGGAGCUCUCAGGGCUGUGCAGUGCAAUGAGGCUGGCAGCAGUAGGAUGGGGCUGGGACCCCCCCCUCAGCCUUGGGGGUGUGAGGCACCUCCUGGCCAGGUUGCUGCAGAGCUCAUUUAGGAUGUGGUGUCUGUCCUAAGCCUGAACCACUUGGACAGAGGAAAGAUAGGAAUGCUCAACCCAACCUCCUCCCUUCUAUCUGGGGCGAAAAAAAAGCACGUUGGAGAGGAGCCCUGAAGCAGUCGGAUCUCUGAAAGGCGAAGUGCUAUCCAGUUGCUGUGCAGAUUUGUCAACUGCUUCAAGCAGGAAAUUACUUCGUGUCUUGAAAAGCCUCCAAGCACCUGUAACGCUGUGAGCACGGGGGAGCUGCUGUCUGCUGGCCUGGGUUUGGUGAGCUGGGGCUGAUCUGCUGGGCAGGGCCUGUUCCUCAGUGUCCUUGGAGGUAAGGGGUCCCUUGGUGCUGUGUUAGGGGUCCUGAGUUCAUGCUUGGUGAGUAAUGCAUGCAGCACUGCAUCCCCAUGUGAGUCUCCUUGUGUUUCUGUAGGUCCUAUCAAAACACACCAGGGGUGAAAGAAGUUGCUCUACCACCCCAAUGGGCUGUGUUCAGCCAUAGCAUGAUGGUGGGAGGAUCCAAACCCUCAAGGGUGGUGUGGAGGGGGGGAUGAAGUGGCCUUGUUGUGUCAGCAGUGUGUGUGAAGGGUGAUCUGGUGCUGCUGAGAGCUGCUGGCUGCUCGGACACAGUGAUGCAUUGCUCCAGCUCAAUGGGAUCUUCCUCCCCCUCUGACAGCUGUGAGAUCGAUCAUGACCGUGUGCAAAGAAGUAAAGUGCAUCAAAGCCACUUGGCAACUUAACUAACCAGGCUCAUAAAUUAAUUGCUAUCCCUAUUGUAAGGGAGAAAUCAGUCUCUCCUUGAGGAGAUCUGUCUCCAUUGCUCAUUCGGCUGCAUCCCUUCAUAAAUCUUCCCUAAAAAAUAUCAGCACCUUCUCAGGCUGCCAUCUGUUUAUUUGGUUGGACUUGGAACUUGCUGAAAUGUCUUUCGAUGGAUGAAGCAACAGAGAGUAGAAGAACAGAGCCUGGCAAGGCUGCUUGGUGAGUGGAAAAUAAUUUUUUGGGGCUUUCUGGAGUUUGAAGCCCCGAUGAUGGAUGUGCAUGCGAGAGAUGGUAAUGGCUUUGUAAGUAUCAAAACACAGAGCAAGAGAAUAACUCUGCCUCAUGGACUGAGGAAUGGAUGCUGGGCGGGAUCUGCUCAGCUCUGACACAGCUGCAUGAUGGAGUGCUGUGGGCUCGGGAGUAGGGUCCUGCAUUUGUUUAAUGUGUUGGAAAAAAAACACAGGGUAAGUGGUUUUAAAAGAUAUUACAUACUCACUACGAAUGUGUUGGAAAAUCAGAGCAUCGUUAAGGUUGGAAAAGACCUCUAAGAUCAUCACGUCUAACUGUUAACCCAUCGCCACCACACCCAAGCUCACAGCUUGUUGGGUUUGGGGGUGUUUUGCUGGUUGCUGCACCAAGGAAAGGCUUUGCUGAUCCCAUUCCUUUUUUAAAGGGGUUUUGGUGUCCCACUUCCAACCUGGCUUAUGUGAGUGAUCCUCAGCACAGGCGCUGCCUUUUAUCCAUAUCCUUACUGAGAGCAGGAUAUGGGCACAGGCUGCCCAGGGACCACAGAGAUGUGGCAUUGGAAUUGGUGUGGUGGGCUUGGUGAUCUUGGAGGACCUUUCCAACCUCCAUGGCUCUGUGAUUCUUUGGGGUGGUUUCUUUUUCUCCUUCCUUAAUGGGUUUUUCCUCUGGGUUAAUCCAACACAACUCCUGGAACAGGUGCAAGUGAGACAGCAGAUAACUGGGCUGCAGGGCUGUCUGCAUGGCAGGUUUUUGGGACUGGAUGUUUUCCCUCCCAACACCUGGUGGCUUUGUCCAGCUGCAGCCUUGGGAGGAUGAUCUGCCUGUGUUUGGCUCCAAUCCUUGGAGGCUGAAAAUGAAAAACAACCAGAAGAAAAAAAAACUUGCUGUCAAGUAUUGUCAGCAAUACUCUGUAUAUCCAAAGCUGUGCUGGAGAACCACUGAGCUUCCUGCUACCCUGUGUUGGCUGAAAGGCAAUGAGAUUAAGGAAAUCAUAACUUCCACAAGGAUUUCUUUUUAAAGGGCAAAACAAAACAGAUCAUUUCCUCAAUUUAAUGUGAGCCAAUUAUGGCUCAUGGGCUGUUAACUUCAUCACUGCUUCUUCCAAGAAAGACGUUGGGUAAAAUGAACCAGCCCAGCUCCGCGUGCGCCCAGCAAAGCUUCAGCCCCAGCCAUUUAUCCCCGCAGAUGGAAAAAAGCUAAAGCCUAUGUCGCACAAAUGCCCUCUAAAGUAUCCAACCACUUGUUGUACAUCUGCUGACGGAUACCAACUGGAAAGGAGAUUAGCACUCAGACUCCCGCGCUGGGCUGUCUGCUCUUCCUAAUGAGGACCAGAUUGCAGCCCACGCCAGCGCUGCACCUCCAGCGGAUGGCGGGAUGGGGAGAAAACCUCAUGGAUGGAAUCUGGAGGUCUGAAGACACGUUUCUGCUCCACUGGUCAUCUAUGAACAGGACUAUGGCAUUACAGCUGCCUACGUAUCCUGGGGUGAAUCUUCAGUGUUCAUGGGCAGAUUUCACCUGUUAUUAUUGGCGUAAGUGCAACCUUCCUGGUCAUUGCGGUGUGUCCCCUGAUGCCCUGUGCUUUAUCAUUCAAGGUCAUGGGAAGCACACAGAAUAUUUUCAUUUGCUCCUAAUGGUCACGAGGAGAUCUUGGGGAUCAGGAUGUGCUGCAUGCAUUGAAGCGCCUUCACCUCAAAGGCAGACGGAGGUGAUGCACAGGGAGCUCCCAAAACUCAUUUCCCAUCCUAAGCCCUACACAUCCCAAAUGCAUACCAGGUCCUGCAGGAUGAGACUGGAGAAUGUGGGAGCAAGAGGAAGCAAGGUUUGUAAGGGAAAGGAUGGGGAGAUGCUGCUGUGCUCUUUGGGGAGCCCCCAAUGCCCUGCAUGCCGCAUGGAGCUCAUGUGAAACUCAUUAAAAGUGUGAGGAGAGGGAGGACGAUGGUUGGGAAUCGUUUUGUUUGGGUUUCUAAAACGUGCGCAUGAAAACACUGUGUGGUUUUCUGACAAAUUUGAAACAGUGCUAUUCAAUUCACUCCAGCGUUGCUACUGUUGAUCUAGCAGACUGUAAAGCAUUUAUUGGAGUUGCUUGAGGCGAACUUAAGCAUCUGUGGAAUAACAAGUCCAGGAAGUAAUUGCAUCCACAAGGAAAAUAUUUUUAUGUAUAAUUCAGUGACCCAUUUUAUAAACAUUGUGGUUCCACCUUG